rnacentral:rRNA from 1 species
UUCCGGUUGAUCCUGCCGGACCGUUACUGCUAUCGGGGUGGGACUAAGACAUGCGAGUCGAGCGUCUCUAGCUAUGUUGAGACGCGGCAGACGGCUCAGUAACACGUGGCUAACCUACCCUCAGGACGAGGAUAAACCCGGGAAACUGGGGCUAAUACUCGAUAGGUGAGAAUGUCUGGAAUGAUUUCUCAUUCAAAGGGCUUUAGAAACAUGCUUCUAAAGUCGCCUGGGGAUGGGGCCGCGUCCGAUCAGGUUGUUGGUGAGGUAACGGCUCACCAAGCCUAUAACCGGUACGGGCCGUGAGAGCGGUAGCCCGGAGAUGGGUACUGAGACAAGGACCCAGGCCCUACGGGGCGCAGCAGUCGCGAAAACUCCGCAAUGCACGAAAGUGUGACGGGGCUACCCCGAGUGCCAUCCGCUGAGGAUGGCUUUUCUUUGGUGUAACUAGCCGGGGGAAUAAGGAGAGGGCAAGACUGGUGUCAGCCGCCGCGGUAAUACCAGCUCUCCGAGUGGUAGGGAUGAUUAUUGGGCUUAAAGCGUCCGUAGCCGGCUUAGCAAGUCUCCUGUUAAAUUCAGCGACCUAAUCGUUGAGCCGCGGGAGAUACUACUAGGCUAGGAGGCGGGAGAGGUCGACGGUACUUCUGGGGUAGGGGUGAAAUCCUAUAAUCCCGGGAGGACCACCAGUGGCGAAGGCUGUUGACUAGAACGCGCUCGACGGUGAGGGACGAAAGCUGGGGGAGCGAACCGGAUUAGAUACCCGGGUAGUCCCAGCCGUAAACGAUGCGGGCUAGGUGUUGGGGUGGCUACGUGCCACUUCAGUGCCGCAGGGAAGCCAUUAAGCCCGCCGCCUGGGGAGUACGGCCGCAAGGCUGAAACUUAAAGGAAUUGGCGGGGGAGCACCACAAGGCGUGAAGCUUGCGGUUCAAUUGGAAUCAACGCCGGU